ACGUGACCAUGGGGAUGCUGCAAAGGUUGUAAGUGUGAAAAACGGUCAUAAGUCACUUUUUUCAAUUAUAUAACUUCGGGCGCAAAAUGAAUAUAACAUUACAUCAAAUGUUGUAAGUCGAGGACUACCUGUAAACCAAACUUAGAUCCCUUCUUUUUUUUCAAUAACAUCAGCUCUUAAUAUAAUAGGCAGUAUAAGUACAAACUUCCCACAACAGAAAAAGUUUAACUUUCAUUACAGUUUCUGCAGACACAAUGCUAUUUUGCUUUCUAUUUUCAUUAUUUUCAAAUCCUAAGAAAUCAGAGUUGUGGCCAAAAUUGCAGAAAAGUAUCUUAACAUGGUCUCUUCUUUUUCCCCUCUGCAGCUUGCCAUGAAACACAAGUGUUGAAAAUGACGGUGUGGAGAUCUUUCUGAAUGGAACUGCAAAAAUAGGAUUGCCCAUUUUUAGUGAAAAUGCAAGUCUGUCUCUUUUCCAACAAUUUGGUAAUCAGUUCCAAUUAUCAUGUAGGAAAUUAGUAUUCCUACUUUUUCUAUUGCUAGGCCAUUCAGUGUCUGUCUUUUUUUAAUAUUUAAAAUGAGAUGGUGUUAAUAUGUAAAUUGGACCAAAGGAUAUACUAAACUGCACUGAAAUGCAAGAAUCUAUUGUUCCCAAUAUUGUGUAGGAAUACAGUAUUGUAGCUGCAGGAAAGGUGAUCAAGUGACAGUGAAAUUCAGUAAUUGUUAUAAAAUGGUUUCUUAGAGCAAAUUUUGAAGUAAACAUGUUCAUAACUUAUAUUAUGAAGUGUUCAUAACUUCUAUCACAGGGCAACAAAACUAGGUUGCUAUGAAAAACAGCUUGACUUCUCAGUUCUACCAUUUUUAGUCAGCUUAUUUUGCACAUUUCAUCACUAACAUGGUAAAUUUCAAUUUGAAUUGUCCAUCAUGUUGUCAACACUAUUUUUUUCCUUAUGGUCUGAGUUUAUUUUAAUGUUACCAAAAACACAUUAGAAAUGUUAAGGAAAGGCUAAUUAAAUUGAUAAAUAUGUCAAUAUUUUAUCUGGAAUCUAACUCUUACCUUUUUUAAAUGGAACAAAAUGUCCUUCUAAAUAAACAUUAUAUUGAAACUGCUUCAAGAAUUAAUACAUGCACAAGCACUAUUGUAAGUUUUUUGAAUUCUUCUAUUGAUAAGCAUGCUUCAAAUUUAUUGCUCAAAGUAAGACUUGCUAGAGUUUUCCUAAAUAGUGUAAUCUGGACCUAUGAAGAGCAUAUAGAAGUACUUCAGUCUAUUUGCAGUCAUUGGAUCAUAUUCAUUCAUUAUAAUUAACAUUAUUUAUAAUAAAAUACACAUUUCCACUUUUCAUUUUAUAAAACGCAAAGUUUUCUUAUUUGCAAAAAAAUAUAUCCUUUAAAACAGAUUUUUACAUGCAUUGGAGCCUUCUGGCUUAUUCCUGGUUUUCAUCCUUCCAAUGCUAGUCUGGAGAACUGAAUUGAACAUUCAGUCUAGAUAGUUAUGUCAGAUUUGUCAGCACGCAAUAAUUGGAGUGGUAAUGUAGAACCAUUAACUUCCAAAUUUUGGCUGGGGGAAAGGAGCUGAUUAGGAAGCUUUUUCUCCUGUUAGCACUGAAUUUAUGUCUGACCUAAAAUGAAAAAUGCACAAACUGCUUAAACAGCCCCAUAAUGAAUCUAUAAAAUUCUGGGUAGAAUCAUGGGCAUGCAUAGCCCAUUACAAAAAACUUCUAAAAGCUUGAAAUUUACAGUGUUUGAAAUUCAAAUGUCUAGGUCAAAAAAAAAAGAAAAAGAAACCCUUACACCUACAGGGUUUAAUAUUUGGGUGACAAUGAGAAAAGCAAUAUAAGGCAGUCUGGGGAUACUUUGAAUGGAGUGAUAAUUCUUAUCGAAAGUCACUUUUAUAUUCUCUCAUGUUUGUAUAAUUAUGAACCAAGAGGGAAAAAACAGUAUAGGUAAAGAAUUAAAUCAUUAUGGAGAAAAGGCAUCCAGUUAACUGCGUAUUGUAUGUCAUCAUAAUGUAAACAUUUUAUAGGCUCUAUUUAUUUUUAUGGGUAAUUUACUGACUGGUAACAGCCCAGGUUUGACAGCUGCAUGGACUUCCAUCAAUAUGGUCUCUAUAGCAUACUGUGGGCUACAUUCUAAGUUUACAUAGAAGUUAUUUUUAUUUCCUUUGUUAAAUCAUUUUUAAUGUAUUAUCAUUAUUUAUUUUGCACAUUUUUUAAAAAAAAUCAUCUCAGUUGAUGAAACUGGCUUUUUGUCAAUGCAGGGAUUUUUUUUUCACAUGCCAAAAAAUAAAAUUCUCAAGCCAUUUCAUUGACUUGAUACAUUCAGAAACUAAAACCUAAUUUCUGUUUCUAUUACUAAGUAAAUUUAAGUUACGUGAUGUUUUCUUAGGAUAAUUAGAAACAAGUGUGCUUAUACUGAAAAUAAAUGUGAUUGUAUUAAAAAAUGUCCUCCUGGAAAAUUGAUGUAGUAGUCAAUUAUAGUGUUAGAUAUUUGUGUACAUAAAUUAUACAGUAAUAUUUCAUAUUAAAAUGUAUUUGUAAAAAGUAGCAAGAUCAAUAGUUUCAUUAUCACCUUUUUAAAGUUCUGCAAAGAAUAAAAAAUCAGAAGUUAUUAAGAUAGUCAUACCUGCCUCAUGCUGUUGCUAGCAACAUGUUGUAAGUUAAUGUGAAAAUAUUUAACAGAAUUGCUCUCUUAAUGAGUGAACCUAAAACACAUUUUAUUUUAAUAUGCCAAAAUUGUCAAUAUUUUCUGUUGUCCUGAAGCUUAAUUUUUUGCCACUCUAAAAUAAAUGAAGGUACUUUGCUCCAUUGCUAUAUUUCACAGACAUUAUGUUUGUCAUUUAAAGUUUUAGCCAUUAAUUGAAAUAUACUUUUGUAUCAGUGAUAGACAACCUUAAGACAGUAUAUAAUUCCCAUACCUAUUUUUGUAGCCAUCUAGAAGGACCUCCUACCUUUGAAAAUCACUUUUGAUCAUCUCCCAAGUUGAGUUGGGAGGCUCUUGUACUACUUCCGUAUUCACUCUCUCCCAGGACUACCAUCCUCCCCAUUUGAAAAAGGGCUGAACAUUUCUUCUCACAGACUCUGCUGUUGUCCCUGCACAACUAUCACAUUCCCUGUGGCCCUCAGAUGCCAGGAAACAGAUACAGCUCUAAGUGAAAGUGGAGAAAACUAAUCCUCAUCUAUAUUAUUGAAGAGAUCCAAUAGAGCCAAGAUUUCUGUCUGUGGUUACUAAACAAAUAGUGUGAUCCUGUCUCAACAUUUCUUAUUUAAAGUGGGCAUGGACCAUCAACCUGGACCUCUAAAUUAUAUCUUUGGACCAUGUGCAAAAGUGAUUCUCUUCAGCUUUUCAUGGCUUACACUCUUUGCAUAGGCUAAAAUGUCACAAUUUUAUUUUACCUGCAUAGUAUAUAGAAGGCAACUUAUAUGAGGGCCUGCAAACACAUGUUAAAUGCAAACUGAGGCAUAGCUGCACCUCAGCAAACAUAUCACAUGUGCAAAUAGCCUAUUGUUUUUAUGUUGUGCACAUGUAUAUAUACUUGCAUACCAUAUAGCUUUUCUAAGUUUCAUCUGUCCCAUUUAGAGGUUGCCUCUUGUGGAAUCUUAGCUUUAAUGCCUGCCUUCCUUCCUUCCUUCCUUCCUUCCUUCUGGCAGAAGUGCCUAAUAAAAUAUUAACAUAUUAAAGGCCCAUAAGGAAUCAGCCACUCAAACUGAAGAUUUCAUGGCUCAACUUAUUGUAUAUAUGCCUCAACAAAAUGAUUUACACAACCCUGGCCAUGGGUUUUAAUCAUUACUUCAGAAAGAUGACUGACUAUGAAGAAUGUAAUUAUAUCCUGUGGCCUGAUAAUGUGUGCAGUUUCUUGUAGAACAACUUUGUUGUUCAGCAUUGUCAUAUCUUGCUUUGCUUUGUUGAGAAUUAUUUUGUUUUUUUUAUCUGUAUUGUAAAUAUUCACUUUGCUAAAAAUAUUAUUUAGCCAUAUGUUGCAGGCACAUUAUUAAGUUGUUUCAGCCAUAUACUCUCUCAAAAGUUAAAAACACUGUAGCUAUAAUUAUUCCCAGGACCUACAUCACAUUGCUGAAGGUUGAGAAUGAAUUGCCGUUCCUCUGAAGGUUGAGAAUGAAUUGCCGUCCCUCUCUUAGCCUAGGACUAUCUGGACUCAUGGAUUAAGAUGCUGGUUGUAUACAAUUUAUAUUUUGGCAACAUUAGAAUUUAUUAUAUGCAAUAUUUUGGUUUUCAUUGUAUUGUAUGUAAUUCAUAUCAAAUUGUACAGUUACAAUUCAGUUUUCAUAAUAAAUAUUUUAUUAAGUAUGUGAA